UAGCCCACUGAGUCGUGCGGGUGAAAUCCUGCGUUCAGGUUCGAGCAUCGCGCAGCGAUACGACAACGCGCAGCGUUGCCCGUAGGGUGAGGCCACAGGCCGAAUCAAUCCUGCACGACCCACCA
rnacentral:sRNA from 1 species